rnacentral:rRNA from 1 species
GAUGAACGCUAGCUACAGGCUUAACACAUGCAAGUCGAGGGACCGGCGCACGGGUGAGUAACACGUAACCAACCUGCCCUUUACUCGGGGAUAGCCUUUCGAAAGAAAGAUUAAUACCCGAUAUAAAGGAUGGGGAUGCGUUACAUUAGGUUGUUGGUGAGGUAACGGCUAACCAAGCCUUCGAUGGAUAGUGGUUAUGAGUGGAAGGUCCCCCACAGUGGAACUGAGACACGGUCCAAACUCAGACGGGAGGCAGCAGUGAGGAAUAGUGGGCAAUGGGCGCUAGCCUGAAACAGCCAAGUAGCGUGAAGAAUGAAGGCUGAUGGGUCGUAAACUUCUCUUAUAGAAGAAUAUGUAUUAGAUGAAUAAGGAUCGGCUAACUCCGUGCCAGCAGCCGCGGUAAUAC